UACGUAGGGGGCAAGCGUUGUCCGGAUUUAUUGGGCGUAAAGAGCGUGUAGGCGGCCAGGUAGGUCCGUUGUGAAAACUGGAGGCUUAACCUCCAGCUGUCGAUGGAAACCAUCUGGCUAGAGUCCGGAAGAGGAGAGUGGAAUUCCUGGUGUAGCGGUGAAAUGCGCAGAUAUCAGGAAGAACACCCGUGGCGAAGGCGGCUCUGUGGGACGGUACUGACGCUGAGACGCGAAAGCGUGGGGAGCGAACAGG
rnacentral:rRNA from 1 species